AUGGAGAAAAGCCGCGCUUCGACGCUUAAUUCCUUGACUCGAUUUUUUUUAUAAUUAAUGUAAGGGCAUACAAAUUCGCACAAUGUUAGAAUUUCCUUAACAUUUAAACCCCCCCAAAUAAGUGCUAGAUCGGCCAGAGUCACCAAAUAUGCACAGAAUGACGCACUGAGAGAAAAGUUGGAAAUGGAAUAAAAAAAUAAAAUAUUAAGUAAGAUAAAAUUAUUUUAGGAACAGAAAAUAUAGGCGUAGGUAGAACCGAACGAAAGAAAGAAAAAUAUAAUCAUGUACGGGUUCGGUUUUAGGAAUUAUUAGUUAAAAAAAAUAGGUGGUUGACUAAAACAUGUGAAUGCUCUGUAUUUACUUAACCCUUUGCGAACCACAGUCGCUAUUCUUUUACAGUCACCGCUCGGGAGAUCGAUCUUUCGUCGUGGAGAAUACACCAAGUGAGUUAAUACAAAAUUGUAUAUUUUUGGCUAAUUUAUACUCGGCAUUCGAAUCCAAUGUUUAAUAAAAAAAUGGUCAAACAAAAGUAAAAGAGAACAUGCACACCCUUAAAAGCUGAUUAAAUUGGAGAUUUAUAUGAACAACAGUAGUCCUAAAGCCGAACGCAUCUCCUUUGUAGAAGUACUGUAAAAAUAUAAAUAAAUAAAUAAUAAUAAUUUUAAUAAUAAUAGAGAAGAAAAAAAAAUAAAAUAAAAUUAAGCUGUGAAUACACUGAGGAAAAAAACAGGAACAACAGUUAGAACCAAACAAUAGAAGAUAUUUCCUUUGUAGAGUAGAAACUUAUCUAUGGAAUCAACAAUGAAAUUUCUCUACAUUUUAUAUAUAUUAAGACCCCUUAUUAAAACUUAAGAUUACCUCAUACUAUCCGCACCCAAUAAUUAUAUCUGUUUAUGGAGAACGAACUAUUGGUAUUUUUUUUAGGGUAAUUAGAUAUCGAUAGUAUACAUAGCCCCUUCUUAUUCCCUUCGGCUAUUGACAUUUGCAAUUGUAUUCCACUUAUGUCUUUUCCCAAUGGGGAAAAGGGAGUAACCCGCCCUGGCAACAUAGGCCUGAAAUUUAAUUUGGAUUAUUAAAAUGAAUUUAAACGAAACCAUGGAGUAAUUAUUUAAUUAAUUUCUUGAUUAAAAAUAAUAGACAAGUAGCAGAUCUGGAUUAGGAAGACCUCCACCCCCCAAAGCCGACAAGCUAGAGCCGGAUACUAUAGCGUGCCCCGCGAGGACAGAUCUGUGUAAAAUACUGUGCUACAUAAGGUUGCACGUUACAAUAUGAUCAUAUCCACGGUUUUACACCACGCUGCGGCAUCGGCCCAGGCACAUCAGGAUUAAACAAAGGCAAUGUCACCGAAAUAUUUUGCGAGGCUGCAGCCGAUGUUGUUCGCACAUUAUUCAGCAACCUAAGGAAGUUUGGGUUUUGUGUCUCUAAAAUCGCCUGCAACGCCAGAAUGUUCUUGUGGCGAUGGGGAUCCCACUUCUGAUGUCGGAGAUAGGGGUCUCUUCGCCGCUUCGCGAGUUGAUUCAUCCGUCAUGAUUUUCCUUUCACUUGGGUUUUCUUACUAAGAUCCGCAGCGAGUCGCAAUUGCUUUUGUUGCCCGUUCGAAGGUUUUCGAAAGAAUGAAAUCUAAACACUUUUCUUCUCUGGACAACUCUAUCGUGUCCUUGUCAUUCUGUAGUCACUUGUCAUUCUUUUAACUCAUUCUCUACUCCCCUUAAUUUCACUCUCCUUGUUACAACAACAAUUGCGCCACACUCGGCUAAGGUGAGUUCCAAACUAGCCACGCUUUUAAACCCUUAAGUGGUAUUAGAAGGUCACACUUCUUUAUCUUUACUCUUUAUUUGUGUUGACAGGUUUCUCUCCGUUACAUUGGUUUUAUUUUACAUUAAAUAUUAAUAUUAUUAAUUCUCUCGACAUAUUUAUAUUUAUGUGCAUUAGGGUGGGUCGCUUUGUGUGGGCUCAAAAAAGUGGUAAAUCGUGGAGGGGAACGUAAACCUAGCAAUGUUACCAAAGAAACAAUGUCUCAAAACAAUGACCCUCCGCACUUGCAAUAGAUAUCAGAUACCCGAUAUUCAGCUAAGUGUGCUGGGAGCACUCAGGUAGUGUGAAGGAGACAGAGGUAUAAAAGUAGCAAAGCGUCUGUUUCGAACAUUGCACACUUUAUUUGAUUAUAACGGUUUAAUGAAUGGCCCGAAUUGAACCUAUUUUGGACACAGUUGGACAUUGAUAAUCAAAACAAAAUAUCAUUUAAAUCAUUAAAAAAAAAAA